rnacentral:misc_RNA from 1 species
AUAACUUUCAGAUAAAUCGAGAAAGAAUCAAAAUGUCUGAAGAUAAAUUAGAACAGAAUCCUGCUACAGAUAAAGCAGAGAGUGAGGGGCUCAUGCAGGAUCCUAAAAACGUCCAGGAAUUGACAGGAUACAUUCAAAACAUGCUCCAACAGAUGCAGGAAAGAUUCCAAAUGAUGUCGGAUCAGAUCAUCACUCGUAUUGACGAUAUGGGAUCAAGGAUCGACGAUCUUGAGCACAACAUUAACGAUCUCAUGUCACAAGCGGGGAACGCAAGCAAUCCUGCAUUAACCCAAGAAAAGGAAUCCAAAUAGUUUAAAUUUAAAAACAAUUGAUUGAUAUCGGUUUUAUAUUUUUAAAAAAAACCUGUUUUUCAAUCACUAUUUAAUCAUAUGGUUAUUUAGGCUUUUGAAGGCUUGAAUUUUCCAUUUUAUAAUGUUUAAGAUUUCCCAGAUAUUUAAAAAAGCCCAGUUGAAGAGCUAAUUCUGAUUGAGGCUACUUUGAAUAAAUAAAAUUGAUUUUGAACAUGUUUCGUAUUUAAAUCUAAUUUAUUUCCAAAUUGUGUUUCGAAUUGCUUUUCAUCUUUCUGUACACUGCCUGCCUUAUUUUUUCGAGUAGAUUUCUUGAUUUGAAUUGUUUGAUUUGAAGAAAUGUUUCUAUUAUCUUACUUAUAUAUUAAUUCUCACAUUGCCCCAGAAAGUGUGUUCUUCAGCAUAUCCUAGUUGUUUCA